rnacentral:rRNA from 1 species
CCUACGGGAGGCUGCAGUGGGGAAUAUUGGACAAUGGGCGAAAGCCUGAUCCAGCCAUGCCGCGUGUGUGAAGAAGGCCUUCGGGUUGUAAAGCACUUUCAGUGGGGAAGAAAGCCUUGGGGCUAAUACCCUCGAGGAAGGACAUCACCCACAGAAGAAGCACCGGCUAACUCCGUGCCAGCAGCCGCGGUAAUACGGAGGGUGCGAGCGUUAAUCGGAAUUACUGGGCGUAAAGCGCGCGUAGGCGGUCUGAUAAGCCGGUUGUGAAAGCCCCGGGCUCAACCUGGGAACGGCAUCCGGAACUGUCAGGCUAGAGUGCAGGAGAGGAAGGUAGAAUUCCCGGUGUAGCGGUGAAAUGCGUAGAGAGCGGGAGGAAUACCAGUGGCGAAGGCGGCCUUCUGGACUGACACUGACGCUGAGGUGCGAAAGCGUGGGUAGCAAACAGGAUUAGAUACCCGGGUAGUC